AAAAGAGAGAAGAAGGAACCAAAAAAAAGGGCCAUCACGGUCACUCUCUUCGUGCUCUCCCUUUAUUUGCUGUCAAAUGCCUUCUUCAAGGUUCAACGUUUUCCUAAUCAAUGCUGAUUUUCCCCCAAAGUAAUGCUGAUCUUCAUUUACAGGUGGCCGUUGUUGUUCAGAUAUGAUUGGACACGACUUUACCAGAAUUUAGGUUUUGUUGGGAAUUUGAUGAUUUGAGUUGCAUCUGAAGAAUACUAUGGCAUAGAUUCCUUUCGAGUAUGGGAAUCACAGUUCAUUGUGGAUGUAAGAGCUGUAAUCUUCUCUCUCUCUUGAACAUGGUUGAUGAAAAGUCUUGUAGGUCCAAGAAUCGAGCUAUGUGAAGAAUGAGUUGGAUACUUGUGCUUUAUGUCCUACAUUGGAGAGACUCAACCGAGGUGCUCAAUCGCUUAAAACUUUUAUAUGCGGAACAUCAGGCAGUUCAGAUUGUGUCCUUCAAAAUUUAUAUAUGGUGAAAUACAAGCAGCAUCAAUAGCUCAUUCAAUAUAUAUAUUUUUUUACUUAAAGGGCUAAUACUGUUAUAAAAUUCUUUAUUUUACUGAUAUUUUAUUUUUAUUUUUCUCAGUACAUUUUAUCAGAUUACCAUCUUGCACUGGAAAAAUUAGAAGCUAUAUUUUCUAUCGUUCACUGGUGGCUCCAGGGUCAUACCGAUAAGCUCAAAUGGCACAGAAGCCAAUAAAUGCUGUCAAUGUCAUAUUUGCAUCGAUGCUCUUUAAGAGAGAGGUCUAUAUUCUGCCACCCUCUCCUUGUGACAACCCCGUAAGACACUUGCAAUAGGUUGUUAGAGACUGCAGAUUUUAUUUUUUGCACAAAAUGACAUUAUUUGGAGUUCUCUGUUGAGAUAAUAUGAUAUUUCACUAUUAUUAUUUUUUUUAUAAGGAAAAAAAAAAAAUGCUUGUAAAACUGAGGCCAAUUGAUCAAGGAUGGAAUCAACCGAAACCGUCAGCAUUUUUUUCUUUCUUUCUUUUCUUGAUGGUAUUGGAAAUAUGGUUAUUAUAUUCACUCAAUAAAUUUUCCUAUUUUCUGGAUAAAGAUGAUGUUGUAGAUGUCAACAAUGAUCAUCACCCCUUGUCUAUGCCAUCUUAAUCAUGCAUUUGUGUAUUGAAAGAAGUAUGCUGUUAUUGCUUUCAUCAUAUUGGUUGGGGAUUUAGCAGUUGAUGUGUGCUUUUCCUUGAAUCACUGUUCCUAUUAUUUCUGCAAUUUCCUCUUAUUUGCUAUUUGUAGGUAUUCAUUUUAAAACUUCUUUCAUUUCAAUAAAAAGGGAUUUUUAUUUUUUUGGUUACUUCAGUGUGAGAAAGAAAUAUUUGAAAACUCAUUCAAGCAGUGUGAUUGCUAAC